rnacentral:lncRNA from 10 species
CUGAGGCACUGUUGGCUUAAAAGAACUGCCAAGCUGCCCAGUUGGGCCUGCCAAAUGCCCCUAUAACCUUUAGUGGCAUUGUUCCUCACAAACUUCCCACCUGUUUGGGAAGUCCCAGUUAGGGUCCCUUAGGUUCAAAGCCAAGGCCAUAGACUUUGAGAACAUGCCCUAUUUGUUCAGGUUGUACUUAGAGAAAGGAGGCGGGCAUGGGGGUGAGGGCUUGACCGAGGAUUCCUUCCUUCUGCAGGUUCCUCUUUGAAGAUGAAAACAAUUCAACAACCUUCUUCUCCAUGCCUUUCAGAAUGAAUUUCUUCUUCUCCCGGAUUUUUCUUUCAAUUCUUGGCUGAAGUUUCAAGCUGUGAUCACUCCAGGUAAGAGCAGAAUUUGAGUUAACUUUGUGCAUCAGAGAGACCAAGGCAGGCAAGGUGAAGGAAAAAGAUUGCAGCAUCCCCGGUGCGUUCCCAGCCCUACCUCCCCUCGUAUUCUAGUUUCUGUGUCUUUGUUCACACUGAUCCUGUAGCUGGGUGGCCACUGUCUCUAACCCAUCGGCUUGUCUACACCUCUACCUUCAGACACCCUUUGACACACCUUUCCAAGGAAGGCAGUCAUCCCCACACUCCCUUCUCUCCACUCCCAAACCCCUGAAUGCAUUUCUAUGAAAUUAAUGUGCUCAAGCUUCUGACCUCUCUGCAAGGGGCCCCAGGGGUCUCUCCUCUGUAGUUAACACUCAGCAUUUUAUCUUCUCCAACUCAGACCCCCUAAAUGUCUCUGCCCCAGUCUCUGUUGCUAUUAAUCCAGUGUUGGCCGCAGGCAAAGCUGUUAUUCACUCCUAAAUGCCUCCAUCACUCCCAUUCAGGCUCUCUGACCUUUGGCCCCACACCCGAGUUCCCACUACCCAGCCCAGUCUCCUGCUGGUGUUCUGAUCUUUUAGGCUUCUCCAGCUCAAAAGCUCAGCAUGAGUCAGAAUCAGAAUUCACCCCUGAUUCUGAGGCACUGCAGCCAGAGGGAAAGUCUCCCCACCUUCCACUCUGGCCCCUGUAGGUGCAGGAAGGCAAGGCCAGCCCCUACUGGCCAUGAGGUGUGGCCUCUAGCUUCUAAGCUUGACUCUCCCACUCACCAGCCACACGUCCUUCCCUGGCUGCUCCUCUGCGUGUGAUAAACUUCUCUCUGGAUCAUGGUUUCUUCAUCUGGAGAAUGAGGGAGUUGAACCACAUGUGUGUAAGAGUACCUCCUGCUUCUAUGAUACCUUUUCAAAUGGCUGAAUAUUUGGAAUAUCUUUCUUUAAGGGACCUCAGAAAAGCUCAAGACCCAAGGCUAAUUUUAUUAAUAAAGCCAGCCUUGUGGAAUCUCUAAGAAUUAAUCAUUAGACUCUUUUCAAAGUUAUCUAUUAAUGACCUGAAAAAAGACAAAGACAACCUCAUCUGAUGUGUGCAUAGCCCAAGGGAGAGGCAAUGGGAGAUAUUGUAAUGCAAUCUCCCAGACCCCAAAAAAGAUGCCGACAAACUAGAAUGAUGAGCUAGCUACAUUGGAGUGGAUUUUCCUUGUAGAGGAAAUUAAAUCUGAGCAGAAUCCUAAAAGAUACUUUUCCUGUGAAGAAAAUGAAGACAUUUAAGCUGUUGUAGGGAUUGGAAACACCGGGGAGACCUGAUUUCUGUCUUCAAAGUUGAGAAGGCCACAGAUCCCCCAUUUGGCAUCAUAAAGCACGCGCUCAUGGACAAAAGAAACCAGAUUCAACUGCAGAGUUACAGCCUGCAGUGGCAGUGGUAGUGACGGGCAUUGUGGUGAGACUGACGUUUGCUCUCAGUAAGGGACUUUGGACAGCAGGUGUGCCCUGCCAGGUUUCCUUCAUUAGGCAGGGGUUUCCAGAGGAGCUACUCUACCUGAGAAGCAAAAGUGACCAAGACAGAGGAACUUCUUCUCUCCUAAUCGUGCACUUCAGAGGAGGAGAUACAUGAUAGUACCCAGGAUUGCAGGAAUGAGUUUGCCCUUCUCUUCUGCUCUUGGAUCAUGUGAGGACACAGAGUUCCUUUCCCUGAAAAUGCACCAACGAGGCACCACCUUGGAAGUGGAGACCAGGCCCUUAACAGACACCAAACCUAUAGGAAUCUUGAUGUUGGAUCUCCCAGCCUCCAAAACUGUGAGAAAUAGAUUUAUGUUCUUUAUAAAUCACCCAGUCUGUGGUGCUCUAUUAUAGCAGCACAAAACAGACUAAGAUAGCAGGUACAUACGGACAAACGGUAUAUGAUUGUACACAGGUGAACAUGUACUUAAACAGAAUAUGGUAGUGCACAAGCAAACACAUGCAUAAACAGUACGUAGUCACACACAGGCUAAUGCAUACAUAGGCCAGAUCAUUUCCCACAUUGGCAGUACUAUGAAGGGGAUGAAGAUGGGCUCAGAGGAUCGGGAGUGGAUAGAGGUCCAGGGCAGUAAGAGCCACUGUAGAUGAGGUGGUCAGGGAAGGUGUCCCUGAAAAGAUUCCACCUGAACUGACACCAAAGGGCAGGGGUGGGCAGCGAUGAAAAGGGCCCCUCUCUCAGGCAGGGAGCAGCAAAUUCAUUAUCAUUGAGGCAGGACGCAGCUUAGCAUUGCUCAGGACAAUAUGAUCAGUGUGGCUGGAGAUCAGUGCACUUUCGGAGGUGACAUGGAUUGAGGUUAGGAAGACUAGCAGGUGUUGACUCCUCCAGGUCUUAAUUUAUAAGGGUAGCAGAUCUGAUAGGCUACUUGUGAUGUGGUGAGCGCCCCAUCAACUGGGCAAUGGAAAGAGGGGCUGGGUGACCACUGAUCAGCAAUGUCGGAAGUGGGAGAGAGUGAGGAAGAAAUUGAAGUGGAAUGCUUUAAAGCACUGUCCGUCUUUGACAUCAAGACACUCACUUUGCUGAGCUCAGAGACAUCUGAAGUUUAAUCACCUGCAGAUUUGAUUGAAUGUAUUUUGCCAAUAUUGAGGGACAGCCACCAUGAGGAGAAGUGCCAGUGCAGCUGCCAACUGAGGAGAGGCCAGGACCUCAGUACCAUGGAUACAGCAAAUGUGGACAGAGCCAGUGCCGUGGCUCAUUUAGAGCCAGAUGUGAAAGGCAGCUGGCUGUGCCUCCUUGCUUUGACUGCUGAAAACCAUAAAUAAAUACAUGUAAAAAGUUGGAUGUUAGCUCUGUCAUUAUUUUACAAUGAUGAUAGGACGUUAGAAUAUGAAUGCAGUUUGAAAGAUAGCACUGUCUUUGAUACAUCAAAAAGCCCUCUCCACUUGACUAGAACUUUGGAGGGACGCUACUAGGAUAAACUCCUCCCUGCCUGUUCUCCUGAUGUUGUAUUACGAUGACAGAAGCUCUCAAUGUAUCAACUUAAUUUCAGUUCAAAAACCGUCUUAGUUCUGCCCUAGUGAA